rnacentral:lncRNA from 1 species
CGCUUGGCCCGGAGGUGGGCGCGGCGCCCUCGGGCAACGGACGGUUGCGACCCCGGCUUCGCCCCGCAGCCCCCACUUUCUGCCGAUUUCGGCAGCCUCUCUCCCACCCAUCGCCCCCCGGACAAAAUAUGAAGUGGUUGGCGGUCAGUGAGGAGUCCCGUCGCGACUUGGACGGCCACACACGUUUUGCAGGAGUUUGCAUCCGAGAGAGAGGCAGGCAGAGCGUGGGAUUGAGAAGGCUGAGGCUGCUAGAGAUGCCAGCUAUGGAAAACCAGUCAUUUCCCACCGAAAGGCACAAGUGCGGUCUGCGGGCGCUGCACGGGUCUGCCCGAAACCUCGACCCCACGUCCACCCCGGCCGCCCGCGCCCGAGGCUUUACAGGCUCCCGAAACGGGUGCAUUUUCAUCUGCGGUGUCUGGACCCUAGAGUUGAUCCUCUUUGAUUAGUUUGUCCUUUGGAGGAGCAAUCGGACUGAUGUUUUUGAUGCUUGGAUGUGCCCUUCCAAUAUACAACAAAUACUGGCCCCUCUUUGUUCUAUUUUUUUACAUCCUUUCACCUAUUCCAUACUGCAUAGCAAGAAGAUUAGUGGAUGAUACAGAUGCUAUGAGUAACGCUUGUAAGGAACUUGCCAUCUUUCUUACAACGGGCAUUGUCGUGUCAGCUUUUGGACUCCCUAUUGUAUUUGCCAGAGCACAUCUGAUUGAGUGGGGAGCUUGUGCACUUGUUCUCACAGGAAACACAGUCAUCUUUGCAACUAUACUAGGCUUUUUCUUGGUCUUUGGAAGCAAUGACGACUUCAGCUGGCAGCAGUGGUGAAAAGAAAUUACUGAACUAUUGUCAAAUGGACUUCCUGUCAUUUGUUGGCCAUUCACGCACACAGGAGAUGGGGCAGUUAAUGCUGAAUGGUAUAGCAAGCCUCUUGGGGGUAUUUUAGGUGCUCCCUUCUCACUUUUAUUGUAAGCAUACUAUUUUCACAGAGACU